GAUGAACGCUAGCUACAGGCUUAACACAUGCAAGUCGAGGGGCAGCAUGACGAUAGCUUGCUAUUGUUGAUGGCGACCGGCGCACGGGUGAGUAACGCGUAUCCAACCUUCCCGUUGCUAGGGGAUAACCUUGCGAAAGUAAGACUAAUACCCUAUGAGGUUCUUCGCAGGCAUCUAAAGAGAACGAAAGAUUUAUCGGCAACGGAUGGGGAUGCGUCUGAUUAGGUUGUUGGCGGGGUAACGGCCCACCAAGCCCACGAUCAGUAGGGGUUCUGAGAGGAAGGUCCCCCACAUUGGAACUGAGACACGGUCCAAACUCCUACGGGAGGCAGCAGUGAGGAAUAUUGGUCAAGUGGGCGAGAGCCUGAACCAGCCAAGUAGCGUGCGGGACGAAGGCCCUAGUGGGUUGUAAACCGGUCUUUUUUACGAGGGGGGAAUUAAAGGUGAGUGAACGUGUCUAGUUCAUUGCAGGUACCCUGCGAA
rnacentral:rRNA from 1 species